GACGAACGCUGGCGGCGUGCCUAAUACAUGCAAGUCGAACGCAGUGGGGACGGGUGAGUAACACGUGGGUAACCUCCCAUCAGAGGGGAUAACACUUGGAAACAGGUGCUAAACCGAUACUGAUGGAUGGACACGAGGUGCAUGAGCUAGUUGGUGAGGUAACGGCUCACCAAGGCCACGAGGCCUAGCCGACCUUAGAGGGGGAUCGGCCACACUGGAACUGAGAAACGGCCCAUAUUCCUACGGAAGGCAGCAGUAGGGAAUCUUCGGCAAUGGACGAAAGUCUGACCGAGCAAAGCCGCGUGAGUGAAGAAGGUUUUCGGAUCGAAAACCCCUGUUGUUAGAGAAGCGGUAUCUAACCAGAAAGCCACGGAUAACUACGUGCCAGCAGCCGCGGUAAUUC
rnacentral:rRNA from 1 species